CAAAAACAUCGCCUCCUGAAAAAAUAGGAGGUCCAGCCUGCCCAGUGACCAAGUUAAACGGCCGCGGUACCCUAACCCUGCGAAGGUAGCGCAAUCACUUGUUCUUUAAAUGAGGACUAGUAUGAACGGCAUCACGAGGGUCUCACUGUCUCCCCCCUCUAAUCAGUGAAACUGAUCUCCCCGUGAAGAAGCGGGGAUAAAUAUAUAAGACGAGAAGACCCCAUGGAGCUUUAAACUCAAUUUCAACUACCAUAAAUAAACCAUAAAAAAUAGGUAGCCAUGACUAUUAGUUUUCGGUUGGGGUGACCACGGAAGCAAAACACAACCUCCACGACGAAUGACUCUUUACCUCUAAUCAUAGAGUGACGACUCAAAGAAUCAACAAAUUGACCCAUUUGACCCA
rnacentral:rRNA from 1 species